UGUAGAUGUGAUGCCUGGAACUCAUGCAGCUAUCUUGCAACGACGAGGAUGAGGCUGAGAGAAUAGGAGAGAUCCUUGCUCAAACAGGCUGAACUCGAGUAUUUCGGGCCCUAAGAAGGAAGGACGAAGAUCCCUGGAGAACUCUCCUGUAGUGUCCUUGUUUUGAGUAGCAAUGGAGGACUUACCUGUGCUGCUCCAGAAGCUGGGAUUGCCACAGAACAGGGACUGCAUAAGUUGAACUCUUCUGGGAACCAAAGCAGAAGCUCAUCAAGAGAGUUACCACAUUUUUCAGAUGUGGAUUGCCAUCAGAGAGU